rnacentral:rRNA from 1 species
CCUACGGGAGGCAGCAGUGGGGAAUAUUGCACAAUGGGGGAAACCCUGAUGCAGCGACGCCGCGUGAGUGAAGAAGUAAUUCGUUAUGUAAAGCUCUAUCAGCAGGGGAGAAAAUGACGGUACCUGAGUAAGAAGCCGCGGCUACCUACGUGCAAGCCGCCGCGGUAAUACGUAGGGGGCAAGCGUUAUACGGAUUUACUGGGUGUAAAGGGUGCGUAGACGGCAGUGCAAGUCUGGAGGGAAAGGCGGGGGCUCAACCCCCGGACUGCUCUUGAAACUGGACGGAUGGAGUGCAGGAGAGGUAAGUGGAAUUCCUAGUGUAGCGGUGAAAUGCGUAGAUAUUAGGAGGAACACCAGUGGCGAAGGCGGCUUACUGGACUGUAACUGACGUUGAGGCUCGAAAGCGUGGGGAGCAAACAGGAUUAGAUACCCCAGUAGUC